rnacentral:rRNA from 1 species
AAAACAGGGAUGAACGCUAGCGACAGGCCUAACACAUGCAAGUCGAGGGGCAGCACAUGAUGCAGCAAUGCGGAUGGUGGCGACCGGCGCACGGGUGAGUAACACGUAUGCAACCUGCCUUCAACCGGAGGAUAACCCGUUGAAAGACGGACUAAUACUCCAUAACACAGGGGUCCCGCAUGGGGAUAUUUGUUAAAGAUUAAUCGGUUGAAGAUGGGCAUGCGUUCCAUUAGCUUGUUGGCGGGGUAACGGCCCACCAAGGCAACGAUGGAUAGGGGAACUGAGAGGUUUAUCCCCCACACUGGAACUGAGACACGGUCCAG